rnacentral:rRNA from 1 species
UACAGAGGUCUCAAGCGUUGUUCGGAUUCAUUGGGCGUAAAGGGUGCGUAGGCGGCGCGGUAAGUCGGGUGUGAAAUCUCGGAGCUUAACUCCGAAACUGCAUUCGAUACUGCCGUGCUUGAGGACUGGAGAGGAGACUGGAAUUUACGGUGUAGCGGUGAAAUGCGUAGAUAUCGUAAGGAAGACCAGUGGCGAAGGCGGGUCUCUGGACAGUUCCUAACGCUGAGGCACGAAGGUCAGGGGGAGCAAACGGG